rnacentral:rRNA from 1 species
GAAGGCUCAUUAAGUCCGUUGAGGACGAGGCAGCAGUAGAGAAUAUUGUGCAAUGUACGGCAGUAUGACACAGAGAGCACACGCCCUCUUGGCCUGUCCAACUAAGUGCCAGCAGACGCGGUUAGACUUAGGGGCCAAGCCUUUAUGAGCAAAGGGGCGUAAAGGGUGUGUAGGCCGACUGCCCCACCCCCCCCAAGGUGGUAAAUGGAAUUUUUCUGUAGCGGUAGAAUGUGCGGAUAGAAAAUAGAACCCCAAAAGCAGAAGCAAUUUACCGCGGGGCGGGAGGGGGGGGCCCCUUGGGGCGCCCCUCCGGGUCACGGGCUGAAACACGAGGGUGUGGGGAACAAACAGGAUUAGAGACCCUGGUAGUCCACACUGUAAACGAUGGAGAAAAUGCGAAUGCAGCCCCGAAAGGCAGCAAUCUCCCGCCUGAGUAGUACGAUCGCAAGAUUAAAAUUCAAAAAAUUUGGCUGUUCACCGUUUCGAUUAGAGGAGCGUGUAGUUUAAUUCGAUAAACCGCGAGAUACCUUACCCAAACUUGAAUCGCCCCACCCGCGACCCGAGUGGGGUGACCGGUAUUGCAUGGCCGUCGUCAGUUCGUGUAUGAAACCUUAAACGGACCCAACCCGAGGAUUAGCCGCGGAUGAAGUCAGGUCUUAUGGUCCCAAUGUUUGGGGAUAAUAUGCGCUACAUUUUCUUAUACAAUGGGAAACCUGGGAGGUGAAACCCAAAAGUGAGAGUUCGGUAGGCUAUUGGAAGAUGGCCGAAAGUUGAAUUUAAUAGUAAUCGGAAAGUAUAGCGUUCCGGUGAAAAUGGUCUAGGUGUUAGCACAAAUCGCCCGUCACCUUAACUUAGGAUGAUGGUUCGGACGCCGCCGCGCCCCCACGGGCCCCGGCGGUUACGGGCCCCUACGAAGUUAAGCAA